rnacentral:rRNA from 1 species
CCCCUAGAUGUUCUGGGCCGCACGCGCGCUACACUGAACAGUUCAACAAGUCUUAACCUUGGCCGAUAGGUCUGGGUAAUCUUUGAACGCUGUUCGUGAUUGGGAUAGACCUUUGCAAUUAUGGGUCUUCAACGAGGAAUUCCUAGUAAACGCAAGUCAUCAGCUUGCAUCGAUUACGUCCCUGCCCUUUGUACACACCGCCCGUCGCACCUACCGAUUGAAUGGUCCGGUGAAAUCUCGGGACGGCGGCUUGGUCGCUUGCGUCCGACUGCUGAAACUUGAUUAAACCAUAUCAUUUAGAGGAAGGUGAAGUCGUANCA